UACAGAGGUCCCGAGCGUUGUUCGGAUUCACUGGGCGUAAAGGGUGCGUAGGCGGUGAGGUAAGUCGGAUGUGAAAUCUCCGAGCUCAACUCGGAAAUGGCAUUGGAAACUACCUUGCUAGAGGAUCGGAGGGGGGACUGGAAUACUUGGUGUAGCAGUGAAAUGCGUAGAUAUCAAGUGGAACACCAGUGGCGAAGGCGAGUCCCUGGACGAUACCUGACACUGAGGCACGAAAGCUAGGGGAGCAAACAGG
rnacentral:rRNA from 1 species